GCGGGAGUGGUCUAGUGGUUAAGACGCUGCCCUCCCAACCCGAUAGGCAGACAUCGCGAGGUGAGUCCUUCCUUCCCGAA